AGAGGUUAGACCAGCUCCAUGAGAGGUGGGACAGUACCUGGCCUUAAAAGGCUCUAGUGAUACCAGAGAACAUUAGCAAACCCUGAUCCAGUCUCUUGUUGCCUGUCUUCUGAGAUUUAACAUCAGCUGCAUCUUCUGGAAAUGGGUCACACGAUUGGAUGUCAUCCAGAUAUUGCAUUUUUUACAAAGUGAAGGUUUGUGGCAACCCUGUGUUGAGCAAGUCUAUCGGCACGACUUUUCCAACAGCAUU